GCCCUCGUAGCUCAAAGGAUAGAGCAACGCACUCCUAAUGCGUAGGUUGGCCGUUCGAGUCGGCCCGAGGGUA
rfam:Anaerolineae bacterium SG8_19 WOR_8-12_3028, whole genome shotgun sequence.